rnacentral:rRNA from 1 species
GCCAUGCCGCGUGUGUGAAGAAGCCUUUCGGGUUGUAAAGCACUUUCAGUCAGGAGGAAAGGUUAGUAGUUAAUACCUGCUAGCUGUGACGUUACUGACAGAAGAAGCACCGGCUAACUCCGUGCCAGCAGCCGCGGUAAUACGGAGGGUGCGAGCGUUAAUCGGAAUUACUGGGCGUAAAGCGUACGCAGGCGGUUUGUUAAGCGAGAUGUGAAAGCCCCGGGCUCAACCUGGGAACUGCAUUUCGAACUGGCAAACUAGAGUGUGAUAGAGGGUGGUAGAAUUUCAGGUGUAGCGGUGAAAUGCGUAGAGAUCUGAAGGAAUACCGAUGGCGAAGGCAGCCACCUGGGUCAACACUGACGCUCAUGUACGAAAGCGUGGGGAGCAAACAGGAUUAGAUACCCUGGUAGUCCACGCCGUAAACGAUGUCUACUAGAAGCUCGGAGCCUCGGCUCUGUUUUUCAAAGCUAACGCAUUAAGUAGACCGCCUGG